UACGGAAGGCAGCAGUGGGGAAUAUUGCACAAUGGGCGAAAGCCUGAUGCAGCUAUGCCGCGUGUAUGAAGAAGGCCUUAGGGUUGUAAAGUACUUUCAUCGGGGAGGAAAAAACAAAACUAAUAAUUUUAUUUCUUGACGUUACCCGAAAAAGAAGCACCGGCUAACUCCGUGCCAGCAGCCGCGGUAAUACGGAGGGUGCUAGCGUUAAUCAGAAUUACUGGGCGUAAAGAGCACGUAGGUGGUUUUUUUAAAGUCAGAUGUGAAAUCCCUGGGCUUAACCUGGAACUGCAUUUUGAAACUGAAAUACUAGAGUAUCGUAGAGGGAGGUAGAAUUCUAGGUGUAGCGGUGAAAUGCGUAGAUAUCUGGAGGAAUACCUGUGGCGAAAGCGGCCUCCUAAACGAAUACUGACACUGAGGUGCGAAAGCUGGGGAGCAAACAGGGAUUAGAUACCCGU
rnacentral:rRNA from 1 species